rnacentral:rRNA from 1 species
GACGAACGCUGGCGGCGUGCUUAACACAUGCAAGUCGAACGGAAAGGCCUCUUUCGGGGGGUACUCGAGUGGCGAACGGGUGAGUAACACGUGAGUAACCUGCCCUUGACUUUGGGAUAACUUCAGGAAACUGGGGCUAAUACCGGAUAGGAGCUCCUGCUGCAUGGUGGGGGUUGGAAAGUUUCGGCGGUUGGGGAUGGACUCGCGGCUUAUCAGCUUGUUGGUGGGGUAGUGGCUUACCAAGGCUUUGACGGGUAGCCGGCCUGAGAGGGUGACCGGCCACAUUGGGACUGAGAUACGGCCCAGACUCCUACGGGAGGCAGCAGGGGGGAAUAUUGCACAAUGGGUGGAAGCCGGAUGCAGCAACGCCGUGUGCGGGAGGACGGCCUUCGGGUUGGAAACCGCUUUCGCUCAUGACGAAGCUUUGUGUGACGGUAGUGGGUAAAGAAGCACCGGCUAACUACGUG